rnacentral:lncRNA from 1 species
AUAUCUGCUUAGGGACAGUUCAAUAUUUAUCAGAUGGAUGGGCCGGUGCAAAAUGGGGCGGGGCAAGCACUUUUUUUGUGGAAAUAUUUGGAUGGGCAAGAACUUUUUUUAAAAUAUUUAGUGGAUGGGCCAGAACAUAUUUUAUAGGAAAAAUUAUGUUAUCAAUUUUAUUGGUUUGUAGGAUAUUUCUUUUGCGGGCACUCAAAACAUGUCUCAACAAACUGGUAGCUUGGCUCAUUUCUGUCAAUUUUAAGGAUUUAAUUAAGGAAUAAAAAGCUAGAAUUUUCUGUUCAGACUAUCUUUUAGAUUA